UUUUUUCCUUGUAGAAAGUACCACAGAGAUUACUCCUGCCUAAUGAGUACCAUGCAGAAUUGUAUUGAAUGUUGAACUUCAAAUAAGCAUGGUACUAGCAGAUCUUGGCAGAUCUGAUGUGGUCAUAUUAAUCAUCGUCCUGUAGAGCUUGUGUGUGCACAGAAGAUGUGGUGCCCUUGAAAAACCCAUAAGAACUGAAGGAAUAUUAUGAAAAGGCAAUAUUUUGCUGGGCCAAAUUUCAAAGUGUGAGCAAUCUCCGACUGGAUCUGCCAAAUCCUUAAGUGGGCAGGGGCAAGGAAGAGGAAAUGAAGACAUGUCAUAACGUGGUGUUUGGCUGCCAAGUCUGUCUUUCACAAUAUGAAUCCAUAUGACAAAUGUCCCUGUUGUAGCCAACUCACAUGGAUGGAAAGGUUGGAUGCACUACAGAGGCAUACUUCUGAUAGCUGUCUGCAGUGUCUUCCACAAGUUGAAGUAUACAUGAUGAAGAAGGAAGAAAGUUUUGCCUGGAGACAAAAUGCCAGGGGAAAUAUUGGACAAUAUAUGUCUGCAUUAGAUAUUAGGUAAGUAGUAGAGCUGGACAUGUUUAGUUGGCAUUCCAGAUACUUUCAAGCUUAAGUCU